GUCUCUUCUCGGCCUUUUGGCUAAGAUCAAGUGUAGUAUGUGUAGGAUGUAUUGUUGCAACCCAGAGAACAUGGGGAGGAAGCAAGCUAGAAAUGAAAGAAAUAUAAAGCACUCUUC